CCUACGGGUGGCUGCAGUGGGGAAUAUUGCACAAUGGGCGCAAGCCUGAUGCAGCCAUGCCGCGUGUGUGAAGAAGGCCUUCGGGUUGUAAAGCACUUUCAGCGGGGAGGAAGGCGGUGAGGUUAAUAACCUCAUCGAUUGACGUUACCCGCAGAAGAAGCACCGGCUAACUCCGUGCCAGCAGCCGCGGUAAUACGGAGGGUGCAAGCGUUAAUCGGAAUUACUGGGCGUAAAGCGCACGCAGGCGGUCUGUCAAGUCGGAUGUGAAAUCCCCGGGCUCAACCUGGGAACUGCAUUCGAAACUGGCAGGCUAGAGUCUUGUAGAGGGGGGUAGAAUUCCAGGCGUAGCGGUGAAAUGCGUAGAGAUCUGGAGGAAUACCGGUGGCGAAGGCGGCCCCCUGGACAAAGACUGACGCUCAGGUGCGAAAGCGUGGGGAGCAAACAGGAUUAGAUACCCGAGUAGUC
rnacentral:rRNA from 1 species